rnacentral:lncRNA from 1 species
ACCACUUCAAUUUUAUCGGUUGUCAAAAAUUUUACUUUGUGAUUUUGUUCUUUUUUUCUUUGUAUUUUAAUUCAUACAUUGUAUUGUUUUCAAAUUAACUUCUUUUAUCUUUAAAACAUAACAAUAUUCUCAAAAUCUCAUUUCCUUAAAAACAAACCAUUUCAAAAAUUCAUUUAGAGUUCUCAGAAUCAAAAUCUCAUUCCCUUUAAAAAUUCAUUU